AAACCAAAUCUUAUUAUCUCAAGAUCCUGACUUGUUUUUCUCGUGAUAAUGGGAUAAUUGAUCUGUCUCCAGAAAAUUAAGAAACUAAUUUUGAGUUAUUUCGAGAUAAUGGAAAAAAUUCAAUGUGUUUAACAUUCUCCUUUUUUGACAUCUUGGCACCUCUCCAUAUCAACAUAUCUAUUAGGAGCUUCGGUUGGCCUCUGUGUCUUACAAGGUCCUCAAGCAUGCAUUCUUUACAAAAGCCAGAAGAGGGCAACUGAGAGUAACAGAACUAGUCCAAUUGUUUAGAAGUCAAUGAGAGGUCUAUGAGAAAAUGAUCCUGCUGUUGUGCCAUCUUUCACACUAAAUAAUGCAUGAGACACAUGGAGGUAACACUUAACUUUAUUUGUGUGGUGUCCUAGUCUGAGAAACGCUGUGUCACUCACUGGCUCAUUGUGUGAGGGCACAACAAAUAUCUUUGCACUGACCUCAGGGGAACAGAGAAGCAGCUGGACUAAAGGAAGAAAGAAACAACAACAAUGCUGUGACUACUCUUCUCUGCUCUGCGCCGUGCCGCUGAGUGGAUAGCUUCAUGCUGUGGCUGCUGCUCAAAGGACAGGACAGGAGGAUUCUAUCAAUGUAAAGGGCAGAAGGUGUGGACAGUGUCCAAUGAUGAAACAACAUCCAAAAGUCAAAUCCCAACAUAAUUACUCCCAGGAGAGCAGGCAGAGGAAUCUCUAUGUUUAAUUAACCUACAGUAUGUUGAUCUAUGAUUGCUCUGAGCUUGUUUUAAUGACGACUCAUCUGAAAACUUCUUAUUUGGAAGUAGGAUGAUGUCUGACAGCAGAUGAGUUCAGCAGCAGCUGAGGAGACGCAGUAAAUCUACUGUAUGAACCAUAUGUUUGUCAGAGCUGUAAUAUGUUCAGCAUUCUUAAUAAAUCAAAUGACAUGAUAAAA